AUACGGAGGAUCCGAGCGUUAUCCGGAUUUAUUGGGUUUAAAGGGAGCGUAGGUGGAUUGUUAAGUCAGUUGUGAAAGUUUGCGGCUCAACCGUAAAAGUGCAGUUGAAACUGGCAGUCUUGAGUACAGUAGAGGUGGGCGGAAUUCGUGGUGUAGCGGUGAAAUGCUUAGAUAUCACGAAGAACUCCGAUUGCGAAGGCAGCUCACUAGACUGCAACUGACACUGAUGCUCGAAAGUGUGGGUAUCAAACAGGAUUAGAUACCCUGGUAGUCCACACAGUAAACGAUGAAUACUCGCUGUUUGCGAUACACUGUAAGCGGCCAAGCGAAAGCGUUAAGUAUUCCACCUGGGGAGUACGCCGGCAACGGUGAAACUCAAAUGAAUUGGCGGGG
rnacentral:rRNA from 1 species